rnacentral:rRNA from 1 species
AUGCUUACCAUGCAGUCGAACGAGACGGGAUGGAAUGACCCUUCGGGGGAAUGAAAUCCUAGAAAGUGGCGAACGGGUGAGUAACGCGUGGGUAACCUGCCCUAUGGAAAGGAAUAGCCUCGGGAAACUGGGAGUAAUGCCUUAUAAUAUACGAGAGUCGCAUGGCUUUUGUAUUAAACGCUCCGGUGCCAUAGGAUGGACCCGCGUCCCAUUAGCUAGUUGGUGAGAUAACAGCCCACCAAGGCAACGAUGGGUAACCGGUCUGAGAGGGCGAACGGUCACACUGGAACUGAGACACGGUCCAGACUCCUACGGGAGGCAGCAGUGGGGAAUAUUGCGCAAUGGGGGCAACCCUGACGCAGCAAUACCGCGUGAGUGAAGAAGGUUUUCGGAUCGUAAAGCUCUGUUAUUGGGGAAGAAAAAAGACGGUACCCAAGAAGAAAGUCCCGGCUAACUACGUGCCAGCAGCCGCGGUAAUACGUAGGGGACAAGCGUUGUCCGGAUUUACUGGGCGUAAAGGGCACGCAGGCGGUUUUUUAAGUCAGAUGUGAAAGGUACCGGCUCAACCGGUGACAUGCAUUUGAAACUGAAAGACUUGAGUAUUGGAGAGGCAAGUGGAAUUCCUAGUG